GCCCGGAUAGCUCAGUCGGUAGAGCAGGGGAUUGAAAAUCCCCGUGUCCUUGGUUCG
rnacentral:tRNA from 1 species